GUUGGGUAGGGGAGCGUUCUGUAAGCCGUUGAAGGUGGCCUGUGAGGGCUGCUGGAGGUAUCAGAAGUGCGAAUGCUGACAUAAGUAACGAUAAAGCGGGUGAAAAGCCCGCUCGCCGGAAGACCAAGGGUUCCUGUCCAACGUUAAUCGGGGCAGGGUGAGUCGACCCCUAAGGCGAGGCCGAAAGGCGUAGUCGAUGGGAAACAGGUUAAUAUUCCUGUACUCGGUGUUACUGCGAAGGGGGGACGGAGAAGGCUAUGUUAGCCGGGCGACGGUUGUCCCGGUUUAAGCAUGUAGGCGGAAUGAUUAGGUAAAUCCGGUCGUUUAUUCAACGCUGAGGUGUGAUGACGAGGCACUACGGUGCUGAAGUAACAAAUGCCCUGCUUCCAGGAAAAGCCUCUAAGCAUCAGGUAACAACGAAUCGUACCCCAAACCGACACAGGUGGUCAGGUAGAGAAUACCAAGGCGCUUGAGAGAACUCGGGUGAAGGAACUAGGCAAAAUGGUGCCGUAACUUCGGGAGAAGGCACGCUGAUGGUAGGUGAAGUGACUUGCUCAUGGAGCUGAAAUCAGUCGAAGAUACCAGCUGGCUGCAACUGUUUAUUAAAAACACAGCACUGUGCAAACACGAAAGUGGACGUAUACGGUGUGACGCCUGCCCGGUGCCGGAAGGUUAAUUGAUGGGGUUAUCCGUAAGGAGAAGCUCUUGAUCGAAGCCCCGGUAAACGGCGGCCGUAACUAUAACGGUCCUAAGGUAGCGAAAUUCCUUGUCGGGUAAGUUCCGACCUGCACGAAUGGCGUAAUGAUGGCCAGGCUGUCUCCACCCGAGACUCAGUGAAAUUGAACUCGCUGUGAAGAUGCAGUGUACCCGCGGCAAGACGGAAAGACCCCGUGAACCUUUACUAUAGCUUGACACUGAACAUUGAGCCUUGAUGUGUAGGAUAGGUGGGAGGCUUUGAAGUGUGGACGCCAGUCUGCAUGGAGCCAACCUUGAAAUACCACCCUUUAAUGUUUGAUGUUCUAACGUAGACCCGUUAUCCGGGUUGCGGACAGUGUCUGGUGGGUAGUUUGACUGGGGCGGUCUCCUCCCAAAGAGUAACGGAGGAGCACGAAGGUUAGCUAAUCCUGGUCGGACAUCAGGAGGUUAGUGCAAUGGCAUAAGCUAGCUUGACUGCGAGCGUGACGGCGCGAGCAGGUGCGAAAGCAGGUCAUAGUGAUCCGGUGGUUCUGAAUGGAAGGGCCAUCGCUCAACGGAUAAAAGGUACUCCGGGGAUAACAGGCUGAUACCGCCCAAGAGUUCAUAUCGACGGCGGUGUUUGGCACCUCGAUGUCGGCUCAUCACAUCCUGGGGCUGAAGUAGGUCCCAAGGGUAUGGCUGUUCGCCAUUUAAAGUGGUACGCGAGCUGGGUUUAGAACGUCGUGAGACAGUUCGGUCCCUAUCUGCCGUGGGCGCUGGAGAAUUGAGGGGGGCUGCUCCUAGUACGAGAGGACCGGAGUGGACGCAUCACUGGUGUUCGGGUUGUCAUGCCAAUGGCAUUGCCCGGUAGCUAAAUGCGGAAGAGAUAAGUGCUGAAAGCAUCUAAGCACGAAACUUGCCCCGAGAUGAGUUCUCCCUGACCCUUUAAGGGUCCUGAAGGAACGUUGAAGACGACGACGUUGAUAGGUCGGGUGUGUAAGCGUAGCGAUACGUUGAGCUAACCGAUACUAAUGAACCGUGAGGCUUAACCUU
rnacentral:rRNA from 1 species